AUUGAACGCUGGCGGCAUGCCUUACACAUGCAAGUCGAACGGUAACGCGGGGCAACCUGGCGACGAGUGGCGAACGGGUGAGUAAUGUAUCGGAACGUGCCCAGUUGUGGGGGAUAACUGCUCGAAAGAGCAGCUAAUACCGCAUACGACCUGAGGGUGAAAGCGGGGGAUCGCAAGACCUCGCGCAAUUGGAGCGGCCGAUAUCAGAUUAGGUAGUUGGUGGGGUAAAAGCCUACCAAGGCGACGAUCUGUAGCUGGUCUGAGAGGACGACCAGCCACACUGGGACUGAGACACGGCCCAGACUCCUACGGGAGGCAGCAGUGGGGAAUUUUGGACAAUGGGGGCAACCCUGAUCCAGCCAUGCCGCGUGCGGGAAGAAGGCCUUCGGGUUGUAAACCGCUUUUGUCGGGGAAGAAACGGUCUGCGCUAAUACCGCGGACUAAUGACGGUACCCGAAGAAUAAGCACCGGCUAACUACGUGCCAGCCGCCGCAGUAAGAC
rnacentral:rRNA from 1 species